CCAGACUCCUACGGGAGGCAGCAGUGAGGAAUAUUGGUCAAUGGCCGAGAGGCUGAACCAGCCAAGUCGCGUGAGGGAUGACGGCCCUACGGGUUGUAAACCUCUUUUGUCGGGGAGCAAAGAGAGUCACGUGUGGCUCAUUGAGAGUACCCGAAGAAGAAGCAUCGGCUAACUCCGUGCCAGCAGCCGCGGUAAUACGGAGGAUGCGAGCGUUAUCCGGAUUUAUUGGGUUUAAAGGGUGCGUAGGCGGGCUGUUAAGUCAGCGGUCAAAUGUCGGGGCUCAACCCCGGCCUGCCGUUGAAACUGGCGGCCUCGAGUGGGCGAGAAGUAUGCGGAAUGCGUGGUGUAGCGGUGAAAUGCAUAGAUAUCACGCAGAACUCCGAUUGCGAAGGCAGCAUACCGGCGCCCGACUGACGCUGAGGCACGAAAGCGUGGGUAUCGAACAGGAUUAGAUACCCCUGUA
rnacentral:rRNA from 1 species